AAUGGCUCAUUAAAUCAGUUAU
rnacentral:ncRNA from 2 species